rnacentral:rRNA from 1 species
GAUGAACGCUGGCGGCAUGCCUAAUACAUGCAAGUCGAACGAGAGGAAGGAAAGCUUGCUUUUCUGAAUCUAGUGGCGAACGGGUGAGUAACACGUAGGUAACCUGCCCAUGUGCCCGGGAUAACGUCUGGAAACGGAUGCUAAAACCGGAUAGGUAGCAGACAAGCAUUUGACUGCUAUUAAAGUAGCUAAGGCCAUGAACAUGGAUGGACCAGCGGUGCAUUAGCUAGUUGGUGAGGUAACGGCCCACCAAGGCGACGAUGCAUAGCCGGCCUGAGAGGGCGGACGGACACAUUGGGACUGAGACACGGCCCAAACUCCUACGGGAGGCAGCAGUAGGGAAUUUUCGUCAAUGGGGGGAACCCUGAACGAGCAAUGCCGCGUGAGUGAGGAAGGUCUUCGGAUCGUAAAGCUCUGUUGUAAGAGAAAAACGACAUUCAUAGGGAAUGAUGAGUGAGUGAUGGUAUCUUACCAGAAAGUCACGGCUAACUACGUGCCAGCAGCCGCGGUAA